UACGAAGGGGGCUAGCGUUGCUCGGAAUCACUGGGCGUAAAGGGUGCGUAGGCGGGUCUUUAAGUCAGGGGUGAAAUCCUGGAGCUCAACUCCAGAACUGCCUUUGAUACUGAGGAUCUUGAGUUCGGGAGAGGUGAGUGGAACUGCGAGUGUAGAGGUGAAAUUCGUAGAUAUUCGCAAGAACACCAGUGGCGAAGGCGGCAUCCUGGACCGAUAUUGACGCUGAUGCGCGAAAGCCAGGGGAGCAAACGGG
rnacentral:rRNA from 1 species